GACGAACCGUGCGAACGUUAUUCGGAAUCACUGGGCUUAAAGGGCGCGUAGGCGGGCCACCAAGUCAGGGGUGAAAUCCCACGGCUCAACCGUGGAAGUGCCUUUGAUACUGGUGGCCUCGAGGGAGGUAGGGGCGUGCGGAACUUCCGGUGGAGCGGUGAAAUGCGUAGAUAUCGGAAGGAACACCGGUGGCGAAAGCGGCGCGCUGGACCUCUACUGACGCUGAGGCGCGAAAGCCAGGGGAGCAAACGGG
rnacentral:rRNA from 1 species